GGGCAGUUAGCUCAGUUGGAAGAGCAGCUCGUUGACGUCGAGCAGGUCGUAGGUUCGAGUCCUGCACUGCCCACCA
rnacentral:tRNA from 1 species